ACCUGGGACAGAUCAGUUGGUAGAGCAUAAGACUCUUAAUCACAGGGUUGUGGGUUCAAUUCCUGUGUUGGGCA